rnacentral:rRNA from 1 species
UCGAACGGAAGUAGGGGGCAACUCCUACUNUAGUGGCGGACGGGUGCGGAAUGCGUAGGAAUCUACCCUAAAGUGGGGGAUAACUCGGGGAAACUCGAGCUAAUACCGCAUACACUCUACGGAGUAAAGGGGGCGCAAGCUCUCGCUAUAGGAUGAGCCUACGUCGGAUUAGCUAGUUGGUGGGGUAAAGGCCCACCAAGGCGAUGAUCCGUAGCUGGUCUGAGAGGAUGACCAGCCACACUGGGACUGAGAUACGGCCCAGACUCCUACGGGAGGCAGCAGUGGGGAAUAUUGGACAAUGGGGGAAACCCUGAUCCAGCAAUGCCGCGUGUGUGAAGAAGGCCUUCGGGUUGUAAAGCACUUUCAGUGGGGAAGAAAAGCACAGGGCUAAUAUCCUUGUGUGUUGACAUUACCCACAGAAGAAGCACCGGCUAACUCUGUG